rnacentral:rRNA from 1 species
AGCUUAACCUUCGGGAUGGCGCUUACCACUUUGUGAUUCAUGACUGGGGUGAAGUCGUAACAAGGUAACCGUAGGGGAACCUGCGGUUGGAUCACCUCCUUA